rnacentral:lncRNA from 1 species
GUAAGAUAUAAUUAUUUUAAUAUGAAUUGUCCUUGCUUUUGGUCCUUAUUUUACAAGCCAUACGCCUCGACCUCCUCUGUCGAAUCCUAAUGAUAACAUAUGGAUAAUAUUCUUGAUUGAUUGAAGGUUGAUUCAUUGAUUUAGUAGACUGCCACUGGCUACUUUUUUAUGAUUAUUUCGUUAUCAUGGUUAUGAGCAAAAUUUCAAUUUAAACUUGUGCCGCUUAGAAAGAUUCUGUUCCAAUUACAAGUAUAUUAUUUCAAUAACUAAUAGACUAAUUCGAACCUUUGUUCGUCCUUCAUACUGGUCAUUCACUUCACAGUAACCAUUUAACGAUUUUAAAACUUGAUAAUUUGAUUAGGUUAGAGUCCACCUGAACGUUUUGGAAUC